rnacentral:rRNA from 1 species
GACGAACGCUGGCGGCGUGCCUAAUACAUGCAAGUAGAACGCUGAAGGAGGAGCUUGCUUCUCUGGAUGAGUUGCGAACGGGUGAGUAACGCGUAGGUAACCUGCCUGGUAGCGGGGGAUAACUAUUGGAAACGAUAGCUAAUACCGCAUAAUAUUGACUAUUGCAUGAUAGUCAGUUGAAAGGUGCAACUGCACCACUACCAGAUGGACCUGCGUUGUAUUAGCUAGUUGGUGGGGUAACGGCUCACCAAGGCGACGAUACAUAGCCGACCGGAGAGGGUGAUCGGCCACACUGGGACUGAGACACGGCCCAGACUCCUACGGGAGGCAGCAGUAGGGAAUCUUCGGCAAUGGACGGAAGUCUGACCGAGCAACGCCGCGUGAGUGAAGAAGGUUUUCGGAUCGUAAAGCUCGGUUGUAAGAGAAGAACGAGUGUGAGAGUGGAAAGCUCACACUGUGACGGUAUCUUACCAGAAAGGGACGGCUAACUACGUG